AUGGAUAAAGGUGACCCCAAAUAAACCAAACAGCAAGAUAUCUGCUUAUGCCUUCUUCAGGCAGACAUGCAAGAAAGAACAUAAGAAGCAAAACCCAGAGGUUCUAGUCAAUUUUGUGGAGUUUUUCAAGAAGUGCUCUGAGAGGUGGAAAGCCAUGUCUAGCAAAGAGAAAUCAAAGUUUGAUGAAAUGGCAAAGGCAGAUAAAGUCCGCUACGGUUAGGAGAUGAAAGAUUAUGGACCAGCAAAUGGAGGCAAGAAGAAGGAGGACCCAAAUGGCCCCAAAAGGCCUUCAUCUGCAUUUUUCUCAUUCUGCUAGGAAUUCUGCCCCAAGAUCAAAUCCAUAAAAACUGGCAUCACCAUUGGAGAUGUGGCACAAAAGCUGGGUGAAAUGUGGAAUAACUUAAGUGACAGUGAAAAAGCAGCCUUACAUCACCAAGACAGCAAAGCUGAAGGAAAAGAAUGAGAAGGAUGUUGCUGACUAUAAGUCUAAAGGAAAGUUUGAUGGCACCAGGAGUCCUGCUAAAGUUGCCUGGAAAAAUGUGGAAGAAGAGGAGCCACAUGAACAGAAUCCCAACUCUAACAACAAAAAUAACAGGAAGCA
rnacentral:lncRNA from 1 species